rnacentral:rRNA from 1 species
AGGAUGAACGCUGGCGGUCUGCUUAACACAUGCAAGUCGAACGGAGUAGCAAUACUUAGUGGCGGACGGGUGAGUAACGCGUGAGAAUCUACCUUCAGGACGGAGACAACAGUUGGAAACGACUGCUAACCCCCGAUGUACUGAAAAGGCAAAUAUUUAUAGCCUGAAGAAGAGCUCGCGUCCGAUUAGCUAGUUGGAGAGGUAAAAGCUCACCAAGGCGACGAUCGGUAGCUGGUCUGAGAGGACGAUCAGCCACACUGGGACUGAGACACGGCCCAGACUCCUACGGGAGGCAGCAGUGGGAAUUUUCCGCAAUGGGCGAAAGCCUGAUCCAGCUAGAUCGCGUGGGUGAUGAAGACUGUCUUGGUUGUAAAGCCCUUUACUUAAACAGAGAUUAUGACAAAGUUUAAGAAAAAAGUCCCGGACAAUUCGCGCCAGCAGCCGC